UUCGAUCUGGCUCAGAACGAACGCUGGCGGCGCGUUUAAGCAUGCAAGUCGAGCGGCAAGGGCCUUCGGGCCCCUAGAGCGGCGGACGGGUGAGUAACACGUGGACAAUCUGCCCCCCGGCCCGGGAUAGCCCAGGGAAACCUGGAUUAAUACCGGAUGAGACGGGACCCGCGAUGGCGGGAUCCGGGAAAGGCGCUGCGGCGCCGCCGGGGGAUGAGUCUGCGUCCCAUUAGCUGGACGGCGGGGUAACGGCCCACCGUGGCGACGAUGGGUAGCCGGCCUGAGAGGGUGGACGGCCACAUUGGAACUGAGACACGGUCCAGACUCCUACGGGAGGCAGCAGCUAAGAAUCUUCCGCAAUGGGCGAAAGCCUGACGGAGCGACGCCGCGUGAACGAAGAAGGCCGUGAGGUUGUAAAGUUCUUUUCGGGAGGGGGAACAACCGUGGCAGGGAAUGGCCGCGGGAUGACGUGAAUCCCGGAAUAAGCCCCGGCUAACUACGUGCCAGCAGCAGC
rnacentral:rRNA from 1 species